rnacentral:lncRNA from 1 species
GUCUGUUAUAUGGUCGGGUUGUUGUCUCUUUGACACAUUCCCCAUUUCCAUUCUCAAUUUUAUGGUUAAAUUUUAACCAAGGGCCGGAUAGGAUAUUUAACCAUUGGUAAAAAUUUAACCAAGAGAUGAACAACCGGGUCAAGACGUUAAGGAACCAACAAUCAAAAAGGUCUCGUGUUUUUUAUUUUUUGUUUUUUGUUUUUGUUUUUUUUUUUUUUGGUUUUCUUUGAUACUGAUUGAUUGGGGAUUGCUUGUUUAAAUGAUUCAGAAUAAACAUUGAGUCGGACCUGUGUUAAAUUU